AUGCCCGCCUUGGUUAACUAUUUUUGACCGCAUCAAAAAGCUAUAUGUAGUAGUGCUAAGAAAAUGCACUACGAAGGGUGUAUCAUAUGACAUGACGGGACUAAUGAAAUUAUUGAUGUUAGAUGAUUUUUUCUGGAAAACUGGUCAAGAAAGAUAGAAAAACAUUGAUUAUACACAAGACUAAAAUGACACAGCCGGAAGACAUUAACCAAGAGUUACCAUUAAUUUAAAAUUUUCCUUUUCAUGUAGCACUAUUAUUAAUAUUAAUAAUAAUUUGAAUGCUAAUUAAUGAAUUUUAAAUCAAUUUGUGGUACCCCCACUCUCGAAGGCAAGUUAAGAUUUGAAGGGCAUUGUAAAAAAAAAAAAGGUUGUCCCGUUCCCUGUUACCUGUUCCCUGUUCGCAACAGCCAAGAAUUUGUUUUUGUUUCCUCCGGUAAAGUUUAGCUUCUGUCACAUUGGAUGUUUAGACACAUGCUUGAAGUAUUAAAUAUAGAUUAUUUACAAAACUUAAAAUACAGCU
rnacentral:lncRNA from 1 species